AUCCGAGUGCUGGAAUGGUAGACAGGGCGAGUUUAAGCUUCGCUGAUUUAUUAUCAUAAACGUUCAAGUCGUUUCUCGGAUA
rnacentral:tRNA from 1 species